rnacentral:rRNA from 1 species
GAUGAACGCUGGCGGCGUGCCUAAUACAUGCAAGUCGAGCGAACAGACGAGGAGCUUGCUCCUCUGACGUUAGCGGCGGACGGGUGAGUAACACGUGGAUAACCUACCUAUAAGACUGGGAUAACUUCGGGAAACCGGAGCUAAUACCGGAUAAUAUAUUGAACCGCAUGGUUCAAUAGUGAAAGACGGUUUUGCUGUCACUUAUAGAUGGAUCCGCGCCGCAUUAGCUAGUUGGUAAGGUAACGGCUUACCAAGGCAACGAUGCGUAGCCGACCUGAGAGGGGUGGCCGCCAGCCGUGAGACGGGGCCCCGGCCGGGCCCCCUCGGGGAGGCGCAGGAGGGAAUUCUUCGGAAGGGGCGAAGGGCCGGCGGAGGCACCCCCGGGGGGGUGAGGAGGUUCUCCGUAUCAUAAAACUUUUUUAUGGGGGAAAAACAAUUUUGAAAUAACCUUUGCCCGCCUGCGGGUACCCUAAUAGGAAGCCCCGCACAACCUCCUGC